rnacentral:rRNA from 1 species
UACGUAGGGGGCAAGCGUUAUCCGGAAUCAUUGGGCGUAAAGCGCGUGUAGGCGGUUCAGUAAGUCCGCUCUGAAAGCCCAGGGCUCAACCCUGGGAGGCGGGUGGAUACUACUGGACUAGAGUACGGAAGAGGAGAUUGGAAUUCCUGGUGUAGCGGUGAAAUGCGUAGAUAUCAGGAGGAACACCGGUGGUGUAGACGGCUCUCUGGACCGUAACUGACGCUGAGGCACGAAAGCGUGGGUAGCAAACAGG